rnacentral:rRNA from 1 species
GAUGAACGCUAGCGGCAGGCUUAAUACAUGCAAGUCGAGGGGCAGCAUAAGUAGCAAUACUUGAUGGCGACCGGCAAACGGGUGCGGAACACGUACAGAACCUUCCUUCGAGCGGGGAAUAGCCCGGAGAAAUCCGGAUUAAUACCCCAUAGUAAAUUGAAAAGGCAUUCUUUUUAAUUUUAAAGUAUUUAUCACUUGAAGAUGGCUGUGCGCCUGAUUAGGUAGUUGGCGGGGUAACGGCCCACCAAGCCUUCGAUCAGUAACUGGUGUGAGAGCACGACCAGUCACACGGGCACUGAGACACGGGCCCGACUCCUACGGGAGGCAGCAGUAAGGAAUAUUGGUCAAUGGACGCAA